ensembl:snRNA U6 U6 spliceosomal RNA
GUGCUUGCUUUGGCAGCACAUAUACUAAAAUUGGAAGGAUAUAGAGAAGAUUAGUAUGGCCCCUGCACAAGGAUGACAUGCAAAUUCGUGAAGCGUUCCAUAUUUUU